rnacentral:rRNA from 1 species
AUUGAACGCUGGCGGCAGGCCUAACACAUGCAAGUCGAGCGAGCGGCGGACGGGUGAGUAAUGUCUGGGAACCUGCCUGUUAGCGGGGGAUAACUACUGGAAACGGUAGCUAAUCCCGCAUACCAUCAGAUGUGCCCUGUUGGGAUUAGCUGGUAGGUGGGGUAACGGCUCACCUAGGCGACGAUCCCUAGCUGGUCUGAGAGGUUGAUCGGCCACACUGGGACUGAGACACGGCCCAGACUCCUACGGGAGGCAGCAGUGGGGAAUAUUGGACAAUGGACGCAAGCCUGAUGGAGCAAUGCCGCGUGAGUGAAGAAGGCCUUCGGGUUGUAAAGCACUGUCAGCGGGGAGGCGUUACCCGCAGAAGAAGCACCGGCUAACUACGUGCCAGCAGCCGCGGUAAUUC